rnacentral:rRNA from 1 species
GACGUAGGGCGCAAGCGUUGUCCGGAUUUAUUGGGCGUAAAGAGCUCGUAGGCGGCUCGUUGCGUCGGCUGUGAAAACCCGCAGCUCAACUGUGGGCUUGCAGCCGAUACGAGCAAACUAGAGUGUUGCAGGGGAGACUGGAAUUCCUGGUGUAGCGGUGAAAUGCGCAGAUAUCAGGAGGAACACCGGUGGCGAAGGCGGGUCUCUGGGCAACAACUGACGCUGAGGAGCGAAAGCGUGGGGAGCGAACAGG